rnacentral:lncRNA from 1 species
CCCUCUCCUAUCAGUAAUUUUGGAGUUUUGUCAUCCUUCUUUUCCAGCUGCUUCCCAGAGCUGCCAUCUAGGGUGGCUCCAUCACUCAUCUGCAGAUUCCUUGUCGAUUCCAGCAGACUCCAGCAGUCCCUUCAGCUCCAUGUGUCAUGUUGCUAGCCAACAUCCUUAUUGGAUUUGACCUUUCAGCUGAAGCUACCGACAAAGGUUUCCAUCUAAUGGUGAUUUUGGUGGCAGUUGCUGUGACAAGCCCAUCCAUCUACAGCCUUCUACCACUUGCAUCUUCCCAAUAACUGAAUACCCACUUCAUUAUUACGACCUGCACUGAGCAACAGAUUUUUAUGAGUUAACACCUGUGUAGCCCUCAGAGAAAGCCUGGACUUCUCUACUUCACUGUAAUAUAUUGGCUGCUGUCCUGCACUUUAUGGAGCAAAAUACCAGUGUUCAGUAUAACAAAUUCCCCACCAAAAUAAAUUAGUUUAGUGAUCAUCA